UGGCUCUCGCAUCGAUGAAGAACGCAGCGAAAUGCGAUAAGUAAUGUGAAUUGCAGAAUUCAGUGAAUCAUCGAAUCUUUGAACGCACCUUGCGCUCCUUGGUAUUCCGAGGAGCAUGCCUGUUUGAGUGUCAUUAAAUUCUCAACCAUUCAAGUUUUUACUAACUUGUAUGGCUUGGAUCAUGGGGUUUGCGGGCUUUCACAAGUCGGCUAUCCUUAAAUGCAUUAGCAGAGCUUUUGCUGCUAGCUAUUAGUGUGAUAACUAUCAACGCUAUUAGUGAGUCGCAUGAAUAGAGCUUCGCUUCUAAUCGUCUUCGCGGACAAUUUUGACAAUCUGACCUCAAAUCAGGUAGGACUACCCGCUGA
rnacentral:misc_RNA from 1 species